rnacentral:lncRNA from 1 species
UUCAUCUCCGCUCUAGUCUCAGCUUUUCCGUUGGUUAAGGUGGGGAGUGUGAUCUCAGGGCUCUCCACACCCAUCAAGGAAGGAUGUGUGACCGGAGACACAUCCGUGAGUGGCAGCUCCUGGUCUCUCCUGAGGGGGAGAUUGAAGGCCAGUCAACAGGGUGUAGCUGGGGCCACCUGGGGCCCAGUCAUAGAGGAACCACAGACAGAAGGGAGCUGGAGGGAGCGCUGGUCACAAAGCUCUGAAGCUGCAGCAAUAAAUGAAGGUGCGUCAGGAAGGGAUACGGCCCG